rnacentral:rRNA from 1 species
CACGUAGGGCGCAAGCGUUGUCCGGAAUUAUUGGGCGUAAAGAGCUCGUAGGCGGUCUGUUGCGUCCGCUGUGAAAACCCGGGGCUUAACCCUGGGCUGGCAGUGGAUACGGGCAGGCUAGAGUUCGGUAGGGGAGACUGGAAUUCCUGGUGUAGCGGUGAAAUGCGCAGAUAUCAGGAGGAACACCGGUGGCGAAGGCGGGUCUCUGGGCCGAUACUGACGCUGAGGAGCGAAAGCGUGGGGAGCGAACAGG